rnacentral:rRNA from 1 species
CAGUAGCCGCGGGAACACGGAGGGUGCAAGCGUUAAUCGGAAUUACUGGGCGUAAAGCGCACGCAGGCGGUCUGACAAGUCAGAUGUGAAAUCCCCGGGCUUAACCUGGGAACUGCAUUUGAAACUGUCAGGCUGGAGUCUUGUAGAGGGGGGUAGAAUUCCAGGUGGAGCGGUGAAAUUCGUUGAGAUCGGAAAGAACACCAACGGCGAAAGCACUCUGCUGGGCCGACACUGACACUGAGAGACGAAAGCUAGGGGAGCAAAUGGGAUUAGAUACCCCUGUAGUCCCUGUCUCUUAUAC